rnacentral:rRNA from 1 species
GUAGUCCACGCUGUAAACGAUGUCGAUUUGGAGGUUGUGCCCUUGAGGCGUGGCUUCCGGAGCUAACGCGUUAAAUCGACCGCCUGGGGAGUACGGCCGCAAGGUUAAAACUCAAAUGAAUUGACGGGGGCCCGCACAAGCGGUGGAGCAUGUGGUUUAAUUCGAUGCAACGCGAAGAACCUUACCUACUCUUGACAUCCAGAGAACUUUCCAGAGAUGGAUUGGUGCCUUCGGGAACUCUGAGACAGGUGCUGCAUGGCUGUCGUCAGCUCGUGUUGUGAAAUGUUGGGUUAAGUCCCGCAACGAGCGCAACCCUUAUCCUUUGUUGCCAGCGGUUCGGCCGGGAACUCAAAGGAGACUGCCAGUGAUAAACUGGAGGAAGGUGGGGAUGACGUCAAGUCAUCAUGGCCCUUACGAGUAGGGCUACACACGUGCUACAAUGGCAUAUACAAAGAGAAGCGACCUCGCGAGAGCAAGCGGACCUCAUAAAGUAUGUCGUAGUCCGGAUUGGAGUCUGCAACUCGACUCCAUGAAGUCGGAAUCGCUAGUAAUCGUAGAUCAGAAUGCUACGGUGAAUACGUUCCCGGGCCUUGUACACACCGCCCGUCACACCAUGGGAGUGGGUUGCAAAAGAAGUAGGUAGCUUAACCUUCGGGAGGGCGCUUACCACUUUGUGAUUCAUGACUGGGGU